GUCUCAGUUCGGAUCGGAGUCUGCAACUCGACUCCGUGAAGCUGGAUUCGCUAGUAAUCGCGCAUCAGCCAUGGCGCGGUGAAUACGUUCCCGGGCCUUGUACACACCGCCCGUCAAGCCAUGGGAGCCGGGGGUACCUGAAGUCCGUAACCGCGAGGAUCGGCCUAGGGUAAAACUGGUGACUGGGGCUAAGUCGUAACAAGGUACC
rnacentral:rRNA from 1 species